ACAUUAAGAACCUGACAUUUGAUUCAUUCACAGUGUGUCCUGCCUUGGUCCUUUGAAACAGAAUGGACAGUGAGCAAAAGGUCAAAGCUGUUGUUGCUGGUUGCAUAUGUACAGGGACACUACUGCCAAGAGACCCUUAGGAAGAUCUCAUUAUAUGAGAUAAUAUAUCUCAAAUAUGGCAAAAUGCUUGGUGAAGAUCAGGACUCAACGAAGCCUCCAUUUGCACAUGAUGAACCACUGCAGCAGUAAUGUGUUUGUCCGUCUGCUGAAACACGGCUCCAAGGUCAUACCUCGAAAUGCUGGUGCCCCCUUGUCUAAAGUGGAUGCUUCUGAGCACAUGGUUGCAAGCUCACCAGUGAAGGGAGCUCAGAGUGCAGGUUCUCCAAGGAAAGAGGAAGAUAAAGUAAAAGAAGACCCGUUGAUCCUCUCUGAACUAGCGUAUAACACCAGCGCCAGCCUGCUCCCUACCCAAGUGGAUGAUGAUGAAGUAGACAUGCUAUUUGACUGUCCAUCUAGGUUUGUGUUAGAAAGAGAAGACACAGAUACGUUUGAGGAUGUAGAAGCAGAUGAAAAUGUCUUUUUGAUGGCUGAAGAGGAGAAGGUGAAGGAAGCUCACCAAGCUUUGUCAUGGAGCUAUUCCAUCCUGACCGGCCGUAUCUGGCUCAACCCUCUGGUCAAGCGUUGCUCCAGGCUCCUGGUGGUGGGCCUGGGAUUGCUUCUGUUUGUAUUUCCCCUUGUACUCCUCCUUUUGGAGUCAGGUAUUGAUAUCUCCUUCUUAUUCAAAAACAUGAAUUUGAGCAAUUUUACUAUGAAUACUACCGUCCUCUAAAGGAGUAGGUGACUGGGAAGGUCAACAUUUUUUUUAACAUGUUGGGCUUCCCUGAUAAGAUAAAGGACUGUAUUCAAAAUUAAAAUUACCUUUUUCAGUAGAUGCCAUGGUCCAAAUGGUCAAGGAUCAUAAAGCUGCAUGCCAAAUUCUUAAAUUGGCUUUCUAUGCCUUAAUAUUCUUAAUACAAGUUUAAAACAAAUUCUAUUUGCUAUAUGCAGUCUUUAACCAAAAAUAUGUUAUUUUUAUCGCAGUGUAGACAUUCUCUUUAUCUUACCUCAAAAUGACUUACUUUUCCUAUUUUUUUCAUUGUCAUCACUAUAAAAGGGAAUGUUAAUAAUUAGAAUUUUAGUCACAGUCCAAGAGAAUACUUUUCAAUAUAAUUCUUAGUGAAAAAGCAUUCUCUAAGAAAUGUUUAUACAACUAAAUUUAUGCUUGGGUUUUUCUUUCAGUUUUUAAAGAGUACUUCUAUAGUCAAAGAAUUUUGGUAAACUUUUCCUAUUUUAUUUUUUGCAAGGAAAAGCCCCAUUGAAUUUUGUAAGUUUACAUAUUGUAAACCUAGUGCACAAAGAUGUAUCAGAAAUUAUUUUAAUGUUAUGUCACCAGUUUUUACAAAAUAUAUGUUUGGCUGAAAAAGCUAAUACUUUAUAACUAUCUGCAAAUAAUAUAUAAAACUUAGUGGAAAGAAGUUGUAGUAAGUUGUCCAAACAUAUGCUGGAACUGGAGGUAUAUAGAGAGAACACUAAAUGCCAUGUGAGGACCAUCUUUCAACAUUUAGGCAUGAUAAUCUAGUACUUUCAUUUUUGUUAUGUCCAUACAUUUAGCCUAGAUUAGCAGGAUAUUUUGACAAUAAAGUGAAAUUGAAGAAGAAAUACAACAAAGAUAGACUAGUUCAUUAUAUAUUCUUCACUAAUUGGAGUGAAAGAUGACCAGUUGGACAGAUGGAAGGUACCAAAGAAGAAUUCUGAUGACACCUGUGGCCAAUUGGUAUCUCAUGGGGAAAUGAUUGUGAUGUAGGACAUUCUACAGUGUAAGGAUCCGUUCUCCUGCUCCUCAACUCUACAGCAGCACAUUUCAGUGAAUCUGAAUGGCAGUAUACAAAUUUUAAAUUCCAGUCUCUAUGCCAUAGCCAGAGUCAGUAGGACCUGCAUAUGUCGGACCCAUCCAAGAUUUGAUUUCCACAUUCCAGCUUCAGUCUCUGACUGGGAUGAGAAGUUCAUGAGUGAGCCUAGAGGAGCUCAGCUGUCAUCACUUCAGAGAGGAAGAAAGAAACAUCAUUUGGGCCUCAGGCUUCACCUGUAUUCACCUAUCCUUCAGUAAAGCCAAUAUGAAUCUUC